rnacentral:rRNA from 1 species
ACUCAAAGGAAUAGACGGGGACCCGCACAAGCGGUGGAGCAUGUGGAUUAAUUCGAUACUAACCGAAGAACCUUACCCAGGUUUGACAUCGAUUGUAAGCUCUAGAGAUAGGGCCCUCCCUCACAAGGGGACAUGAAGACACUUGUUGCAUGGCUGUCGUCAGCUCGUGCCGUGAGGUGUACGGUUAAGUCCGCCAACGAGCGCAACCCUCGUUCUAUGUUGCCAGCGAGUAAUGUCGGGAACUCAUAGGAGACCGCCGGUGUAAAUCGGAGGAAGGUGAGGAUGACGUCAAGUCAGCAUGGCAGUUACGCCUGGGGCUUCACACAUGCUACAAUGGGCGCAACAGAGGGCAGCAAAGCCGCGAGGCAGAGCCAAUCCCAAAAAUACGCCCCCAGUUCAGAUUGCAGUCUGCAACUCGACUGCAUGAAGGCGGAAUCGCUAGUAAACGCAGGUCAGCUAUACUGCGUUGAAUACGUUCCCGGGUCUUGCACACACCGCCCGU